UUACAUAAGCUGGCAACGGGUGCCCGCGGCCAUCGGUCCUGAUGGACGUUUGGCUCGGGAAAACGGGAAGUCGGGUGGAAAUCCCGCGCGGUCCCGCCACUGUAACGAGGAACUGCCUUACAAGACGCCACUGGGGAACCGGGAAGGCGUAAGGCGGUGAUGAAUCGAAGCCAGGAUACCGGCCCGUUGCUAUGAGAACUC
rnacentral:ncRNA from 2 species